CCAGUCUGCGGGGGAGAUGGAGAAGGUCCCACCAUGCUCCUGCACAAAUCUCAGGAUAGCUGGGGAAUGAGAAUCCAGCACUUUGGGCCUAGGACCUAGAAGGAGAGGUCUUUUGGGAGAGGUAUGGGGACAUCUGAAGGAGGACUUCUUGGAAGGGGAGGGGCUGGAGCAGAGGCAAGAGUGAUUUUGUCAGAUGGAGAGAAGGUUCUCUACAUGGGCGGGGCUGGCAGAGGCAGAUGCCCAGACAGGUCACAACUCUCUAGGUGCCCAAUUACCUGCCCUCGGUGAGCUCAGCCAUCGGUGGGGAGGUGCCCCAGCGCUACGUGUGGCGUUUCUGCAUCGGCCUGCACUCGGCGCCUCGCUUCUUGGUGGCCUUCGCCUACUGGAACCACUACCUCAGCUGUACCUCCCCGUGUUCCUGCUAUCGCCCGCUCUGCCGCCUCAACUUCGGCCUCAAUGUCGUGGAGAACCUCGCGUUGCUAGUGCUCACUUAUGUCUCCUCCUCUGAGGACUUCACCGUCCAUGAAAAUGCUUUCAUUGUGUUCAUUGCCUCAUCCCUCGGGCACA
rnacentral:sRNA from 1 species